CUUCCUUCCACAAUAAGUGACCAGUGGACCUUUUGUCUCAUCCAGUAGGUUGAGAGGAAAUUGAGCUGCCAAGACAUAUGAAACUCCUGGUGGAGAUUUGGAGGAAGAUGAAUGGUACUUAAGUAACAAGAAGACCGUGAAAUCAAACCAUUAAAAGACAAUUUCAAGACUAGUCACUUCCCUCACCUUCUAUUCACUGUGAUAAAGCCCCCAAAAGUCAUUGGGUGCUUCCUUUGAUCUUGCUUCAGUUGGUGUGUUGACUUUGUUAGCACUUUCUAUUGGGC
rnacentral:lncRNA from 1 species